rnacentral:rRNA from 1 species
GAUGAACGCUAGCUACAGGCUUAACACAUGCAAGUCGAGGGACCGGCGCACGGGUGAGUAACACGUACCCAACCUGCCCUUUACUCGGGGAUAGCAUUUCGAUAGAAAGAUUAAUACCCGAUAUCAAGGAUGGGGAUGCGUUCCAUUAGGUUGUUGGUGAGGUAACGGCACACCAAGCCUGCGAUGGAUAGGGGUUCUGAGAGAAAGGUCCCCCGCGUUGGAACUGAGGCACGGUCCAAAACCCGACGGGAGGCAGCAGUGAGGAAUAUUGGUCAAGGGGCGUGAGCCUGAACCAGCCGAGUAGCGUGAAGGAUGAAGGGGUAGGGGUCGUAAACUUCUUUGAUAUAAGAAGAGGUAUUAGAUGAAUAAGGAUCGGCUAACUCCGUGCCAGCAGCCGCGGUAAUUC